rnacentral:tRNA from 1 species
AUUUAAAUAAUUUAAGAAAAAUAUUGAUUUGUGGAAUCAAAAAUGUGAUAAAUAAUUCAUCUCUUUAAAUA